UAAUUAACUUUACUAUUUUACUGAAAAAAUCCUAGGUAGUCCUGUCUGUAUCCUUCACAGUAAUGGGUUAAACGCAGAGGGCAAUUCCUCUGUGUGUAGCAUAACAAUAUGUACAAUGACAAAUAAGAUAUCUUCGAUUCGCGCGCUCGUCUCACGUACGCGCGCGUGUGAAUCUCCUCGCGGGAUACGUAUGGCACGGCGCCGCGCACUCCAGUGUAUGCUAAUGUGUAGUCGUAUGCGAAUGUGUGUAUCUGUGUGUAGUAACCCAGAACAGCAGAGCUCUCUCUCUAACUCUCUCUCACUCACUCACUCUCUCACUCUCUCUCUCAGCCAGACAUGGCGGCGGAUCUUCACUCGGGCUUUUUUUCCUGCCUUCCCUCUUCUUGGAGUUACGGGGUGACGCAGGAUGGACGCAUAUUCUUUAUUAACGAGGAAACGGAGAGCACAACCUGGCUGCAUCCCGUCACGGGAGAAGCCGUAAUCACGGGGCACAGAAAAUCACCAGAUUUACCAACAGGAUGGGAAGAAGGAUUCACCUUUGAGGGGGCUCGCUGCUUCAUCAACCACAACGAGCGGAAGGUGACCUGUAAGCACCCCAUGUCAGGAGCUCCUUCCCAAGACAACUGCAUCUUUGUUGUUAGUGAACAGUCGGCUCCCAAGUCUUCACCAGAGCUAAGUACCUGCAGCGACAUGAAGGAAGACGCUGUGAUCAACAAGAGCGAGACAUCAAGCUACAUGAGCGGACCACACUAUAGCACCUUUCCCCGUAGUAACACCAUCACAGACUCCAGAACGGCCACCACCCAGGGCACCGCUUCAUCAACACGGCUGUCGAGGUCGUUCAAAAAAGUCCACAACUUUGGCAAAAGGUCCAACUCCAUCAAGAGGAACCCUAAUGCCCCGGUGGUCAAAAGCAGCUGGCUUUAUAAGCAGGACAGCACAGGAAUGAAGCUGUGGAAAAAGCGAUGGUUUGUGCUAUCAGACAUGUGUCUCUUUUACUACAGAGACGACAAAGAAGACAGCAUCCUGGGGAGUAUUCUGUUGCCCAGCUUUCACAUCUCCAUGUUAUCAGUGGACGACCACAUCAGCCGAAAAUACGCCUUCAAGGCCACUCACCCCAACAUGCGUACAUAUUAUUUCUGCACCGAUACGGCCAAAGAGAUGGAGUCUUGGAUGAAGGUCAUGACAGAUGCUGCCCUUGUCUACUCAGAACCAACCAGAAGAACCAACAAGUCGAAGGUGGAGCAACGUUUACCUCAACAGUUCAACAACCUGGUGAACCACAGAGCCCUCACGAGCCCCGAGAUCCAAAACAACGAAUCCAACCGCGAACAUACACGACAGCACUCUAUUUCGCACGCCGACGACAAUCGGCAAAUCGAUUUAAAGAAACACGGCAGCCAACAAGAAUGUAUGUACUACACUUUACAGCAAGACUCCUUGAAGAGAGAUGGCAGCAAAUGUUUGAAGCAGAAAGAAGAAGAGAAGAACCUUGUGCACAAGAACGGAGAGAAGUACUUGUUGCAAAAAGAUGGAGAGAAUUGCUACCUGCCGAAAGAUGAGGAGGUACACGGCAUACAUAGAGAUUCGGAGAAGUACAAUAUCGUGAAAGUGGGCGAUAAGUACACGGUGUCACAGGAGAAACAUGCUUUGUCUAAAGAUGGAGGGAAAUAUCUGUUUGCCAGAAAUGGUGAUAAAUAUGCAAUGCAGAAAAGCGAAGACAGACACGCGUCACUAAAAGGACAGAAAUGUGUUUCUCACAAGGAGGUAAAGAGACAUCCGUCCUCGAGGGAGGCAGAAAAAUACUGCACUAUGAGAGUUGGGGAGAAUAUAUAUGGUACAUUACAGGUUGCGAACAAAUAUGGAACUUUAAGGGACAUGAAAAAAUACAACACGCUACAAGAAGGGAGAAAAUACGCCACCCUCAGAGAUGCGGAGAAGUAUGCAACGGUACGUAAUGUUGGGAAAUACAGUCUUCAGAGGGAGCCGAUUAUAGAGAGGUCUAUUAUCAAGAACAGCAGCAACAGACUGCAGCCUGUCCAAGUGGCUGCUGUGUCCACAUCUCCGCUGGGACAGACCUGUCUCACUGAAGAAAAGACUGCGUGGGUCCAAAAUUCCGAGUCUGGGGUUAAGACUAAGGAGCAGUCUGAUUUGAACUCCAGGACGGAACCUGCGGAGAGCGGCCAGUGUGUUGGUCCAGGAACAUACCCCGCUGCAGGGCAGAAAGACGAGAAAGACCUGGACAGGGCCAACUUCAUGCAGCAGCUGGAGCGGUGGGUCCACACGCAGCGAUCGAAAGGUCUGGAAGACGACAUCAGGAGCGUGACCUCCUAUCAGACCUUACCCAGGAACAUGCCCAGCCAUAGUGCUCAGAUUGUGAACCACUACCCCGAGGGCUACCGCACAAUGCCCCGCAACAGGAUGGUGAGGCCUGGCAGCAUCUGCAGCACAGCGGGUUCUGUGUUUGACCUAGCACUCCAUCGCAACUCCACUGCAAUGACCGCAGUGGAGAAGAGAAGGUCUCUGAAGGACAUCACCAUGUGGCAGCUGUACGAGUGGCAGCAAAGGCAAGCUUUCUCCAGGCAAAGUUUAGCUCAACCAACAGCUAUUGGUCACUACUGCACCCUGCCGAGCUCAAAGACCAUCAACACCAUCUCUGAACACACUGUGGCUCACUCCAUCCCCAGCUCUACCUCCCAUGGCUCCCUGGCCCUCUACAGCACCUUUUCUGCUUUCUGUCAGCAGAUUGCUCACAAGCCAGCCAACGUUUCGGAAGAUCCGUCCCAAGUGUUUCCCAGAAAUGGGACACUGGACUGCAGACAGAGGGCGCGCCUUGCUAAGCAGUACGGCAACCCAACUGACCCACAAUCAGUUGCACCUGCUUCCCUUCCUCAGACCAUUACUGCUCAGUCCUUGCAAAGAAAAACGCCUGAAGAGCUGACACUUGAGUUGAUCAAACUCCGUCGGAAGCAAGCAGAGCUAAACAGCCUGCGAGAGCACACAACAGCUCAACUGAUGGCUCUCGGUUUGGAGGGCUCCAACGCCAAGAAUGAUGUUCUUUUACAUCACCUCCAGAGGAAUAUUGUUUACCUGGACAGCCAGACGAAGGAGAACGAGCCUUUAAUCUUCAUGAUUCAUACUAUGAUCGAGAACUCAGCACCAAGACCACAGCUCUACCAGCAGGUCGGCACAGACUACUGCAAAGACAACGUCCAUCACGCGGACGAGGCCGAUGUAGACGUAAGAAACUGUCAGACACACUCUCUGACACAUUUGUACUGGCCAAUAUUCAGGAGUGUGUAUGUGUGUUUGUGUGUGUGUACGUGUCAGACCAAGCUAAGCAGACUGUGUGAACAGGACAAGGCUGUGAGGACGCAGGAAGAGAAAAUGCAGCAGCUUCACAGAGAGAAGGACACUUUGGAGACGGCUUUACUCUCAGCCAGUCAGGAGCUGAGUGAACAGAGCGACUGCAGCGCUGCAGCCACACAGAGUCUGGGUCAGCAGAGAGACGUGCUCCAGAGUGGCCUGCUGAGUACUUACAGAGAGCUGUACAGAGUCAACACUGAGCUGGAGCAGUCGUGGAAGGAGUAUAACAGACUGGAGGCAGACGUUAAUCUGACCAAAUCCAAUCUGCUAGAAAAGCUGGAAGCCCUGGGCAGUCCACAGACAGAGCCUCCCAGCCAGUGGCACAUCCAGAUCCAAAAGGAGCUGUGGAGAAUCCAGGAUGUGAUGGAGGCUCUUUCCAAAAAUAGGCAGCAGUGUCGCACAGAAAAUGAGAUUCCUGGUUCAAAACCUUUAUUCAGUCUGCAGAAAAAUGAAACAUUGCCGCUGCUCAAACCUCUGGAAGAAGGCGGUGCCAUGCCUCCUCGCCCACCCCUUCCCCAGUGCUACCAUUCGUCGGAGAGGCCCUCCCACUUGCCUCCCCACCACUUACACCACAAUGGCUGUUUGCCACACCAAGCAGCGAAGUCGGAUGAUCCAAAGACUGCCUCUAGGAAUGGAGCGUACAAUCAAGGUUCAGACUAUCGUCUGUGUAAGAGUGAGCCUGAGCUGACCACAGUGAAGGAGGAAGUGGAUGAGGAAAAGGAAAAGACAGAACCCCCAGCUGAGAGUAAAGAUACUGCAGUCUCCAAAGUUCCACCGUGCCCCGUGGGUAUAGUUCCUCCCAGGACCAAAUCUCCAAUAAAUCCUCCUGAGUCCUCUACCAUUGCUUCUUAUGUUACCUUGAGGAAGAACAAGAAGCCUGAGUACAAGUCAAACCGUCCCAGGAGUUCAACUGAUCAGUCAGAUUUCAGUCUCGGUGUGAGAGAGAUUGGCCGAGCAAGGAUGAGCUUGGAGGAACAACUGGAGAGGAUUAGAAGAAACCAGGAGGCCCCCCUGCUGAGAGAGAAGAGACGGGAGACCUAUUGUCGCUCAACUACCGACAACACUUUGUUGGUCCCCCAGACCCAAGCCCAGCCAAAGCGAAUCUGUGCCGAUACUGUGAAGCUGGAAGCAGCUUUGCAGCAGCUGAAGUUGGAUCUUACUGAACAGAGCAGGACACCUGCUGAGUCUGCGCCACAACCAGCUGAUGCCCAGGCCCUUUCACCGGAGAGACAGGAAACUGAGGAGGCCACGAACGAGAAUUUAGAGCAGUGCAGACACGCGACUCUACACAGUGUGAAAGAGCAGUUGGAGGAGAGCAACAGCACAGACGGUUAGGUACUGGAACACUGAACAGCAGCUGCAUGGAAAAGUAAUGUUCCAAAACACUGCACAACCACGUUAUAGAGGUAGAGGUACUUGAACACGUCACAGCAAUGUCACUGACAUACAGUAUAUAGCUACAGGUUAGUGAGGGGGAUGUGUGUGAGUGAUUGAAGAGUCACAGGCAGAAUUCUGUUCAAUUGUGCCCCCUGCUGUUGGAGAGGAGCUCCUACAGAGUCACUCAGUGCAAGCUUGUAGCUAUGGUGAUAGUUGACAGUGAGUUGGUCUUGUGGCGUGUCGGUAGUUAAUAUCGUUAAGUUUAUAUAAGAGUCGCCGUGCUUAUUUUUAUUUCAUUAUUAUUGUUAUAGAGUGCGUUCAUAAACCACACAGGAAGUCUGGUGAGCAGUGACACCUGAGUGGCAACAGGAAGUGACAUUUGAAAAUGGCGGCCCUUAGAACAAGGGUCUCAAACUCUGCCAGGGUAAUUUCAUUUCAGGGCCACAUAAUUGUUUGAUAUUUAAUACAAUAAAAAAUAGAUAUUCUAGAAGAAAUAGUAUUUGUUUAAUAUAAAAACCAUAUAAUGCUACAGUACAAGCAGCUUGUACAACUCAUUUUUUCCAUUCUCAAAUGACAAAUAAAUAAUUUAAAUGAAUACAGGUAUUUUAUAAAUUUAAAAAAAACAUCAAGGGCCAAAUUUAAUUAAUAGGCAGUUUGAGACUACUGUUUUAGAGCCAAAGUUCAGCUAGCCUGCUCAUUUGGAAUACCGAUGCAAGGAAAGGCUGCCCUGCUAACAGACCAAACCACAUGAGGAUGAACUGCCAACACAGUAAAGUGAGAGAGAAAUAUUUACCCAUGCCGAAAUAUUCUGAAUGUAACGUUAAUUUUAAGUUGUCUUAAUUAUCUAGAAACAUCAUCAAUACAGAAACAUUUCCCAAAGAUUUGUUAUAAUUGUAGUUAACAGGAGUUGAUCACACAUUCAUCUUUAAGUAAAAAUAUGAAGCUUAAAAAAGGAAGCCAAAAAAAGAGGACAAAAAACAAAACAAAUGACAAAUCAAUUCUUGGUUAAAUAAUAAUUAUGCAAAAAAUUUUUUUUGUCAGACUUAAUAGUCAGUGCUGUCUUCCAUUAAUCAACUGGUACUUUCAGAAUAGUACAAGAAUAAAGUGCUGUUCUGAAUUUGCUGAGAUUUUUAUGUAAUUAUUGAUCGUUAUUAGUUAAUAUUAUGUUAAUUAAUCUCCUUUGGUUAGCUUUAACAAUGCUAAAUAAAACAUUCACAAUCUUUACUAUACGUCUGAUUUGGGGCAAUGAACAUGUAGCAAAUAUAUAUACAUAUCUGUAUACACAUAUUUCAUACUGUUCUAAGUAAUAAAGCCACAAUAUUGACAUAACAGCUAUUUAAGAAUUUAUAAAUGCUAACGACGGGAAGAGAAUAAUGCUAGCUUAUACAGAGUUGCUAGUGGCUA